UAGGGAAUCUUCGGCAAUGGACGAAAGUCUGACCGAGCAACGCCGCGUGAGUGAAGAAGGUUUUCGGAUCGUAAAACUCUGUUGUUAGAGAAGAACAAGGACGUUAGUAACUGAACGUCCCCUGACGGUAUCUAACCAGAAAGCCACGGCUAACUACGUGCCAGCAGCCGCGGUAAUACGUAGGUGGCAAGCGUUGUCCGGAUUUAUUGGGCGUAAAGCGAGCGCAGGCGGUUUCUUAAGUCUGAUGUGAAAGCCCCCGGCUCAACCGGGGAGGGUCAUUGGAAACUGGGAGAAUUGAGUGCAGAAGAGGAGAGUGGAAUUCAAUGUGUAGCGGUGAAAUGCGUAGAUAUAUGGAGGAACACCAGUGGCGAAGGCGGCUCUCUGGUCUGUAACUGACGCUGAGGCUCGAAAGCGUGGGGAGCAAACAGG
rnacentral:rRNA from 1 species